GACAGAGGCCCCGAGCGUUAGGCGGAAUCACUGGGCUUAAAGCGUGUGUAGGCGGAUCGUUAAGUGUCUUGUGAAAUCCCACGGCUCACCCGUGGAACUGCUGGGCAUACUGGCGAUCUUGGGCCAUUCAGGGGCGACUGGAACAAGCGGUGGAGCGGUGAAAUGCGUAGAUAUCGCUUGGAACGCCGAAGGUGAAAACAGGUCGCUGGGGAUGUGCCGACGCUGAGACACGAAAGCCAGGGGAGCAAACGGG
rnacentral:rRNA from 1 species